rnacentral:rRNA from 1 species
GACGAACGCUGGCGGCGUGCUUAACACAUGCAAGUCGAACGGAAAGGCCCUGCUUUUGUGGGGUGCUCGAGUGGCGAACGGGUGAGUAACACGUGAGUAACCUGCCCUUGACUUUGGGAUAACUUCAGGAAACUGGGGCUAAUACCGGAUAGGAGCUCCUGCUGCAUGGUGGGGGUUGGAAAGUUUCGGCGGUUGGGGAUGGACUCGCGGCUUAUCAGCUUGUUGGUGGGGUAGUGGCUUACCAAGGCUUUGACGGGUAGCCGGCCUGAGAGGGUGACCGGCCACAUGGGGACUGAGAUACGGCCCAGACUCCUACGGGAGGCAGCAGUGGGGAAUAUUGCACAAUGGGCGGAAGUCUGAUGCAGCAACGCCGCGUGCGGGAUGACGGCCUUCGGGUUGUAAACCGCUUUCGCCUGUGACGAAGCGUGAGUGACGGUAAUGGGUAAAGAAGCACCGGCUAACUACGUG